GAUGAACGCUGGCGGUAUGCUUAACACAUGCAAGUCGAACGGACUCUUCGGAGUUAGUGGCGGACGGGUGAGUAACGCGUGAGAAUCUGGCUUUGGGUUCGGGACAACCACUGGAAACGGUGGCUAAUACCGGAUGUGCCGGGAGGUAAAAGAGAAAUUGCCUGAAGAUGAGCUCGCGUCUGAUUAGCUAGUUGGUGAGGUAAAGGCUCACCAAGGCAGCGAUCAGUAGCUGGUCUGAGAGGAUGACCAGCCACACUGGGACUGAGACACGGCCCAGACUCCUACGGGAGGCAGCAGUGGGGAAUUUUCCGCAAUGGGCGAAAGCCUGACGGAGCAGUACCGCGUGAGGGAAGAAGGCUCUUGGGUUGUAAACCUCUUUUCUUAGGGAAGAACAAAAUGACGGUACCUAAGGAAUCAGCAUCGGCUAACUCCGUG
rnacentral:rRNA from 1 species